UUCGGCCUUAGUGGCGCACGGGUGCGUAACGCGUGGGAAUCUGCCCCUUGGUUCGGAAUAACAGUUGGAAACGACUGCUAAUACCGGAUGAUGACGUAAGUCCAAAGAUUUAUCGCCGAGGGAUGAGCCCGCGUAGGAUUAGGUAGUUGGUGUGGUAAAGGCGCACCAAGCCGACGAUCCUUAGCUGGUCUGAGAGGAUGAUCAGCCACACUGGGACUGAGACACGGCCCAGACUCCUACGGGAGGCAGCAGUGGGGAAUAUUGGACAAUGGGCGAAAGCCUGAUCCAGCAAUGCCGCGUGAGUGAUGAAGGCCUUAGGGUUGUAAAGCUCUUUUACCCGGGAUGAUAAUGACAGUACCGGGAGAAUAAGCUCCGGCUAACUCCGUGCCAGCAGCCGCGGUAAUACGGAGGGAGCUAGCGUUAUUCGGAAUUACUGGGCGUAAAGCGCACGUAGGCGGCUUUGUAAGUAAGAGGUGAAAGCCCAGAGCUCAACUCUGGAAUUGCCUUUUAGACUGCAUCGCUUGAAUCAUGGAGAGGUCAGUGGAAUUCCGAGUGUAGAGGUGAAAUUCGUAGAUAUUCGGAAGAACACCAGUGGCGAAGGCGGCUGACUGGACAUGUAUUGACGCUGAG
rnacentral:rRNA from 1 species